rnacentral:lncRNA from 1 species
CUUAAUGAAAACAAUGUUUCUCACAGGUGUUACAGUAACAAUGGACAAUGGGGUUAAAAGAAACAUUAUGUUACAAUGAUGAGUCCAGGAGACUUAGAGAUGAGAAUGGAAAAAUGGACAGGCACCUGGAAGUUGUUCUUCAGAAAUCAUAAAAACAUCCUUAAGAAAUGGUCCAAGGAAGUUGUGGCUCUACAGGAGAAGGGUCCAGGGAAUGCUAUCAUCCAGACUACUCUGAGAAGUCUUCAUGUUCAGGCUAGAGUUAGAUUUCCCUUGUAGAUCCACACGUACACAACCGUCUGUCUUCCAUUUGUCUGGGCUAGGGGUUGCCACCUAGCCUAGUGGCAGACGUGGGACUGUUGAGGGAGAAAAUCCAGUGCUGGAACUGAGACAGGCAAACUAGAACAAGUGUCCACCCUAAACUCAGGAUGGAGUCCUGAAGAGAGCCAGGCAGGAAACCAGGACAGGAGAAAUCCGGCGAGCUUCUCCCACAUAAACGCAUCUGGAGGAAAAUCUGUUGAGUUUUUAAUCAUCUCAGAGAGCACAGACCUGAAUUACGGGAAGUGAAAAUUAAAGGCUUUGGAAAGCCUCUGCAGCUUUGUAACUUGAGACCUUGUUUCCUAUUAGUGGGCAGAGUUAUAGCCUUGUGAUUACAGUUUGUUUGAAUUUGCUCUUAAGUCUGGAAUGGUGCUCUGUGCCCACAGUCCCAGUCACUCGGGGUUCUGAGGCAGAGGGUCACUUGGAUCUGCAAGACCAAGCCUGUGCAUAGACCCUCGAUCUCAAUCUUGCUUUGACCGGCUUUGAGUGAGCUGGAACUCACUAUGGAGACUACGCAGGCCUCGAACUCACACAGAUCUGCCUGACUCUACCUCUUGAAUGCAUCUACUGCCACACCUGACAGUUGUCUAAUUUUUUUUUUAUUUAAUUUUUGUGUGUGUGUGUGGAUCUGGCGAUCCACAGGCCUGUGUGGGUCACCAGCCCCCCAACAGCGGGUCACAACCUUCUGGAACUCCAGUUCCCAGGGAUCUGACACCCUCUUUUAACCUUCAUGGAUAUCAGACAUGUAUGUGGUGCACGUACAUACAUGCAGCAGAACAUGCACACACA